CACUCUAGAGAGACUGCCAGGGAUAACCUGGAGGAAGGUGGGGAUGACGUCAAAUCAUCAUGCCCCUUAUGCUUAGGGCUACACACGUGCUACAAUGGGUAGUACAGAGGGUUGCCAAGCCGUAAGGUGGAGCUAAUCCCUUAAAGCUACUCUCAGUUCGGAUUGUAGGCUGAAACUCGCCUACAAGAAGCUGGAGUUACUAGUAAUCGCAGAUCAGAAUGCUGCGGUGAAUGCGUUCCCGGGUCUUGUACACACCGCCCGUCACACCACGGGAGUUGGAGACGCCCGAAGCCGAUUAUCUAACCUUUUGGAAGAAGUCGGCGAAGGUGGAAUCAAUAACUGGGGUGAAGUCGUAACAAGGUAGCCGUAUCGGAAGGUGCGGCUGGAUCACCUCCUUUCUAAGGAGA
rnacentral:rRNA from 1 species